rnacentral:rRNA from 1 species
AUUGAACGCUGGCGGCAGGCCUAACACAUGCAAGUCGAGCGAGCGGAGGACGGGUGAGUAAUGUCUGGGAAACUGCCUGAUGGAGGGGGAUAACUACUGGAAACGGUAGCUAAUACCGCAUACCAUCAGAUGUGCCACGAUGGGAGUAGCUAGUGGGUGGGGUAAUGGCUCACCUAGGCGACGAUCGCUAGAUGGUCUGAGAGUAUGACCAGCCACACUGGAACUGAGACACGGUCCAGACUCCUACGGGAGGCAGCAGUGGGGAAUAUUGCACAAUGGGCGCAAGCCUGAUGCAGCCAUGCCGCGUGUGUGAAGAAGGUCUUCGGAUUGUAAAGCACUUUAAGUUGGGAGGCGUUACCAACAGAAUAAGCACCGGCUAACUUCGUGCCAGCAGCCGCGGUAAUUC